CCGCCCGCGGGGGAACAAAGAGACGCGGCGCGGCUCCCGCCCGGCGGCGGCGCUUACCUGCUGCAGGGCCGCCAGCAGCAUCAGCGCCAGCGGCGGCAGGAUCCGCGGCGGCGCUCCCGCUGCCCGGCACAUGGAGGCGAGGAGGGGCGGCGGCGGGGCGGCCCCCGGCAGUCCCGGAGCGCGGCUGGAGCCCGCGGAGCGGAGAGGGUCGGCGCCGGCAGCUCCCGCGGCUGCGGACGGUGUCUCGCCGCCGCCUGCCGGAGCCGGCUGCCGCGGCGCUGCCUGCUCGCUGCCGCUCUAGCUCAUGGGCAGCGAUGCAGCGGGGGAAGAGAGAGACAGAGAAGAGAGAGAGGCGGAGGAUGGGUGAAACUCAGCGCUGGGUCAGGCUGCUUUUCUCUCUGCCGAGCCCCCUCCGCGGUGCAGAGGGUGGGCAGGGAGGAGGAGGAGGAGGAUGAGCGAACAAAAGGCUGGGAGAUAAGAAAGAAGCAGUCGCUGCUGCUGGUGCGGCGGCGCGGCGGCUGCCUUCCCCGCGCCCGGCUCGCGUCCUCCUCUGCCCGCUGCCGCCGGCUCCUCGGCGCGCAGCCCCGCGUGCCGGCCCCAGCGCUGCUGCGCGCCCGCCCCGCGCCUCUCCCCCGCUGCACUUUCGCUCUCCCUCUUUCUUCUCCUCCCUCCACCCCUCCCCCUGCACGCAGAACCCUCCGCUGGAGCACAAUGACAACAAUACCGGGCAGCCUGCGCGGCGCUCUGCGCGCCCUGCGUGCGUGCGUGCGUGCGUGUGUGUGCGCGCCCGGUGCCUGCCUGCUCCUGCCCGCUGCCGCUGCCAGCUCCCCCUCCGCCUCCCGGCUCUCCCUGCCGCCCGCACGGCCAAUGGGCACGGCUCGGCUCGGCACCGCAAGCGCCGGGGAUCGCUGCUGCCUGCAGAUCGCGCUGCCCCUCGUCGGUGCCGAGGCCGAGCCGGCGUUUGGUGCGCGGCAGGGGCCACGAGUGCUAAUUCACCCCUGCGACAACCCCCCCCCCCCAAAAAAAACCCCACCAAACACAACAACAACACGCCAGCCCAGUAACUUGGUUUGCUGCAAUAGCUUGUGGGGCGAGGUUGAAAGAGCGAGGGGAGAACUUGCUGGGCAGGGAGGAAGGCGCCGACCCUGGGGUGCGCGUCAGCAGAGGGGACAAAAAUGCAGCGAGAAACACCGGGAGGAGUCGGGGGUGCCCUGCUUGGGGGCGAUGGCGAGGGGCCACCUGCCCGGCCGGCUGCACCGCAAGUUUCGGUCAGGUCUUCCUGCUUCGCCUGCUGCUUUUUUUUCCCGCUCCUCCCCUCCCCCCCCGUCUCACUCCGUUGUUUCCAAACUACCUGCUUAA
rnacentral:lncRNA from 1 species